CCUACGGGAGGCAGCAGUGGGGGAUAUUGCACAAUGGGGGGAACCCUGAUGCAGCGACGCCGCGUGUGGGAUGACGGUCCUCUGGUUUUUAAAUCACUUUCCCCAGGGACGUAAAUGACGGUACCUGACUAAGAAGCCCCGGCUAACUACGUGCCAGCAGCCGCGGUAAUACGUAGGGGGCAAGCGUUAUCCGGAUUUACUGGGGGUAAAGGGAGCGUAGGCGGGUUAGCAAGUCAGAAGUGAAAGCCCGGGGCUCAACUCCGGGACUGCUUUUGAAACUGUUGAACUAGAUUGCAGGAGAGGUAAGUGGAAUUCCUAGUGGAGCGGUGAAAUGCGUAGAUAUUAGGAGGAACACCAGUGGCGAAGGCGGCUUACUGGACUGUAAAUGACGCUGAGGCUCGAAAGCGUGGGGAGCAAACAGGAUUAGAUACCCCUGUAGUC
rnacentral:rRNA from 1 species